rnacentral:misc_RNA from 1 species
UACGGAGGGUGCAAGCGUUGUCCGGAUUUAUUGGGUCUAAAGGGUGUGUAGGCGGGGCAUUAAGUCAGUGGUGAAAGCCCACAGCUCAACUGUGGAUGCGCCAUUGAUACUGGUUGUCUUGAGUAUAGUUGAGGCAGGCGGAAUUUACGAUGUAGCGGUGAAAUGCAUAGAUAUCGUAAAGAACACCUAUAGCGAAGGCAGCUUGCUAAGCUACUACUGACGCUGAGGCACGAAAGCAUGGGGAGCGAACAGG